GACGAACGCUGGCGGCGUGCUUAACACAUGCAAGUCGAACGGAAAGGCCCUGCUUUUGUGGGGUGCUCGAGUGGCGACCGGGUGAGUAACACGUGAGUAACCUGCCCUUGCCUUUGGGAUAACUUCAGGAAACUGGGGCUAAUCCCGGAUAGGAGCUCCUGCUGCAUGGUGGGGGUUGGAAAGUUUCGGCGGUUGGGGAUGGACUCGCGGCUUAUCAGCUUGUUGGUGGGGUAGUGGCUUACCAAGGCUUUGACGGGUAGCCGGCCUGAGAGGGUGACCGGCCACAAUGGGACUGAGAUACGGCACAGACUACAACGGGAGGCAGCAGAGGGGAAUAUAGCACAAUGGGCGGAAGCAUGAUGCAGCAACGCCGCGGGCGGGAUGACGGCAUUCGGGUUGGAAACCGCAGUCGCCUGUGACGAAGCGUGAGUGACGGUAAUGGGAAAAGAAGCACCGGCUAACUACGUG
rnacentral:rRNA from 1 species